AACAAUAUAUCAGAAGGAGGAUCAUCUGCUUCCUGACCCAGGUUGACCAUGGUAAAUAAAAUUAUGGGUAACCUAGAGGAGGAGCUGCUGUCUGUAAAACACCUGUUAAUUGGCCAGCUAGCAUUAUGGUAGUAUACAAGCUCCACUUCCUGCCUGGUGGAAUUCAGUUGCCAUGCGGUAAGAAGCCCAAACAGCUGCAUGGAAAGACCACCUGGAGAAGAACCGAACAGGCAUGAAACUUGCACUUACUAAAGACAAGCAAUGCCCUGCUCUUCAUUGUCAUAAAAGGCUAUUCAUCAUAUUAACUGGAAAAUUCUUGACAUUUUUGUAUACUACAAUAUAUUUAUAGUAAAAAUUUUCUAAUUU